rnacentral:rRNA from 1 species
GACGAACGCUGGCGGCGUGCUUAACACAUGCAAGUCGAACGGAAAGGCCCUGCUUUUGUGGGGUGCUCGAGUGGCGAACGGGUGAGUAACACGUGAGUAACCUGCCCUUGACUGUGGGAUAACUUCAGGAAACUGGGGCUAAUACCUGAUAGGAGCUCCUGCUGCAGGGUGGGGGUUGGAAAGUUUCGGCGGUUGGGGAUGGACGCGGGGCUAAUCAGCUUGUGGGUGGGGUAGUGGCUUACCAAGGCUUUGACGGGUAGCCGGCCUGGGAGGGUGAACGGCCACAUUGGGACUAAGAUACGGCCCAGACUCCUACGGGAGGCAGCAGUGGGGAAUAUUGCACAGUGGGCGGAAGCCUGAUGCAGCAGCGCCGCGUGCGGGAUGACGGCCUUCGGGUUGUAAACCGCUUUCGCCUGUGACGAAGCGUGAGUGACGGUAAUGGGUAAAGAAGCACCGGCUAACUACGUG